AUUGAACGCUGGCGGCAUGCCUUACACAUGCAAGUCGAACGGUAACGGGCCUUCGGGUGCCGACGAGUGGCGAACGGGUGAGUAAUACAUCGGAACGUGCCCGAUCGUGGGGGAUAACGAGGCGAAAGCUUUGCUAAUACCGCAUACGAUCUACGGAUGAAAGCAGGGGACCGCAAGGCCUUGCGCGGACGGAGCGGCCGAUGGCAGAUUAGGUAGUUGGUGGGAUAAAAGCUUACCAAGCCGACGAUCUGUAGCUGGUCUGAGAGGAUGAUCAGCCACACUGGGACUGAGACACGGCCCAGACUCCUACGGGAGGCAGCAGUGGGGAAUUUUGGACAAUGGGCGCAAGCCUGAUCCAGCCAUGCCGCGUGCAGGAUGAAGGCCUUCGGGUUGUAAACUGCUUUUGUACGGAACGAAAAGCCUUCUUUUAAUACAGGAGGGUCAUGACGGUACCGUAAGAAUAAGCACCGGCUAACUAUGUG
rnacentral:rRNA from 1 species